UACGUAGGGGGCAAGCGUUGUCCGGAUUUAUUGGGCGUAAAGGGCUCGUAGGCGGCCAACUAAGUCGGAUGUGAAAUCCCCAGGCUUAACCUGGGAACUGCAUCCGAUACUGGAUGGCUUGAAUUCGGGAGAGGGAUGCAGAAUUCCAGGUGUAGCGGUGAAAUGCGUAGAUAUCUGGAGGAAUACCGGUGGCGAAGGCGGCAUCCUGGACCGACAUUGACGCUGAGGAGCGAAAGCUAGGGGAGCAAACGGG
rnacentral:rRNA from 1 species